UGCUCAGGACGAACGCUGGCGGCGUGCCUAAUACAUGCAAGUCGAGCGAACUAAUGGGAGCUUGCUCCCAAAGGUUAGCGGCGGACGGGUGAGUAACACGUGGGCAACCUGCCCUGUAGAUCGGGAUAACAUCGAGAAAUCGGUGCUAAUACCGGAUAAUUUCUAGAAUCUCAUGGUUCUAGAAUAAAAGAUGGCUCCGGCUAUCACUACGGGAUGGGCCCGCGGCGCAUUAGCUAGUUGGUAAGGUAACGGCUUACCAAGGCGACGAUGCGUAGCCGACCUGAGAGGGUGAUCGGCCACACUGGGACUGAGACACGGCCCAGACUCCUACGGGAGGCAGCAGUAGGGAAUCUUCCGCAAUGGACGAAAGUCUGACGGAGCAACGCCGCGUGAGUGAUGAAGGAUUUCGGUUCGUAAAGCUCUGUUGUUAGGGAAGAACAAGUGCCGUUCAAAUAGGGCGGCACCUUGACGGACCUAACCA
rnacentral:rRNA from 1 species